GGGUCGAAAAUCUAAGGUUUCUUGAGGAAGGUUCGUCCGCUCAAGGUAAGCCGGGAGCUAAGGCGAGGCCGAGAGGCGUAGUCGAUGCACAUACGGUAAAGAUUCCGUAGCCACCGAAGUCGUUAAAUACAGGGACACAGGAACAUAGCCUAACCCCGCCGUUGGUUGAGUGGGGCGUAAGGGAGCGAAAAUUAGUAGCGAAGUAGGUGAUUGUACACUGGCGAGAAAAGCUGUAUGUAUUGAUAAGGUGCCCGUACCGCAAACCGACACAGGUAGAUGAGGAGAGAAUCCUAAGACCAGCGGGAGAAGUGUUGUUAAGGAACUCGGCAAAAUGACCCCGUAACUUCGGGAUAAGGGGAGCCUACGCGAGUAGGCCGCAGAGAACAGUCUCAAGCGACUGUUUAGCAAAAACACAGGUCUAUGCUAAAUCGAAAGAUGAUGUAUAUGGGCUGACGCCUGCCCGGUGCUGGAAGGUUAAGGGGAAGUGUUAGAGCAAUCGAAGCACUGAACUUAAGCCCCAGUAAACGGCGGCCGUAACAAUAACGGUCCUAAGGUAGCGAAAUUCCUUGUCAGGUAGUUCUGACCCGCACGAAUGGCGUAACGACUUGAGAGCUGUCUCAACAACAUACCCGGCGAAAUUGAAGUACUGGUAAAGAUGCCAGUUACCCGUGAUAAGACGGAAAGACCCCAUGGAGCUUUACUGUAACUUGAUAUUGAAUUUUUGUAUUACAUGUACAGGAUAGGUGGGAGACAGAGAACCAAUGCCGCCAGGUGUUGGGGAGUCGAUGUUGGGAUACCACUCUUGUAAUAUGAAGGUUCUAACCUGCACCCGUGAAUCCGGGUGGGGGACACUGUCAGGUGGACAGUUUGACUGGGGCGGUCGCCUCCUAAUAGGUAACGGAGGCGUUCAAAGGUUGGUUCAGCACGGACGGAAAUCGUGCAACGAGUGCAAACGCAUAAACCAGCCUAACUGCGAGACCGACAAGUCGAGCAGUAACGGAAGUUGGAGUUAGUGAUCCGGCGGUAUGAGAGUGGAAUUGCCGUCGCUCAACGGAUAAAAGCUACCCUGGGGAUAACAGGCUGAUCUCCCCCAAGAGUCCACAUCGACGGGGAGGUUUGGCACCUCGAUGUCGGCUCAUCGCAUCCUGGAGCUGUAGUCGGUUCCAAGGGUUGGGCUGUUCGCCCAUUAAAGCGGUACGCGAGCUGGGUUCAGAACGUCGCGAGACAGUUCGGUCCCUAUCUAUCACGGGCGUAGGAAAUUUGAGGAGAGCUGACCUUAGUACGAGAGGACCGGGUUGGACGUACCGCUGGUGCACCUGUUGUUCUGCCAAGGGCAUAGCAGGGUAGCUAAGUACGGACGGGAUAAACGCUGAAGGCAUCUAAGCGUGAAGCCCCCUUCGAGAUAAGAUUUCCCAUAGCGUAGGCUAGUAAGGACCCAUGAAGACUACAUGGUUGAUAGGCCGGAGGUGGAAGUGCAGUAAUGUAUGCAGCUAACCGGUACUAAUAGUCCGAGGGCUUGACCU
rnacentral:rRNA from 1 species